rnacentral:rRNA from 1 species
AACGAACGCUGGCGGCAUGCCUAACACAUGCAAGUCGAACGAGACCUUCGGGUCUAGUGGCGCACGGGUGCGUAACGCGUGGUAACCUGCCCUUAGGUUCGGAAUAACUCCCCGAAAGGGGUGCUAAUACCGGAUAAUGUCUUCGGACCAAAGAUUUAUCGCCUUUGGAUGGGCCCGCGUUUGUUUAGCUAGUUGGUAGGGUAAAAGCCUACCAAGGCGACGAUCCAUAGCUGGUCUGAGAGGAUGAUCAGCCACACUGGGACUGAGACACGGCCCAGACUCCUACGGGAGGCAGCAGUGGGGAAUAUUGGACAAUGGGCGAAAGCCUGAUCCAGCAAUGCCGCGUGAGUGAUGAAGGCCUUAGGGUUGUAAAGCUCUUUUACCCGGGAUGAUAAUGACAGUACCGGGAGAAUAAGCUCCGGCUAACUCCGUG